GGUUCGAUCAUGGCUCAGAUUGAACGCUGGCCGGGAUGCUUUACACAUGCAAGUCGAACGGCAGCACGGACUUCGGUCUGGUGGCGAGUGGCGAACGGGUGAGUAAUGUAUCGGAACGUGCCUAGUAGCGGGGGAUAACACGCGGCGUAGCUAAUACCGCAUACGCCCUUCGAAGAGGGGAAAGCGGGGGACCUUCGGGCCUCGCACUAUUAAACAGCCGACUAUCGGAUUAGCUAGUUGGUGGGGUAACGGCUCGCAAGGCGACGAUCCGUAGCUGGUUUGAGAGGACGACCAACCACACUGGGACUGAGACACGGCCCAGACUCACAGGAGGCAGCAGUGGGGAAUUUUGGACAAUGGAAACCUGAUCCAGCCAUCCCGCGUGUGCGAUGAAGGCCUUCGGGUUGUAAAGCACUUUUGGCAGGAAAGAAACGGCACGGGAUAAUACCCCGUGCAACUGACGGUACCUGCAGAAUAAGCACCGGCUAACUACGUGCCAGCAGCCGCGGUAAUACGUAGGGUGCAAGCGUUAAUCGGAAUUACUGGGCGUAAAGCGUGCGCAGGCGGUUCGGAAGAAAGAUGUGAAAUCCCAGAGCUUAACUUUGGAACUGCAUUUUUAACUACCGAGCUAGAGUGUGUCAGGGGAGGUGGAAUUCCACGUGUAGCAGUGAAAUGCGUAGAUAUGCGGAGGAGGAACACCGAUGGCGAAGGCAGCCUCCUGGGAUAACGCGGCGCUCAUGCACGAAAGCGUAGAGCAAACAGGAUUAGAUACCCUGGUAGUCCACGCCCUAAACGAUGUCAACUGGCUAUUUAGGCCUUCGGGCCUUGGUAGCGCAGCUAACGCGUGAAGUUGACCGCCUGGGGAGUACGGUCGCAAGAUUAAAACUCAAAGGAAUUGACGGGGACCCGCACAAGCGGUGGAUGAUGUGGAUUAAUUCGAUGCAACGCGAAAAACCUUACCUACCCUUGACAUGUCUGGAAUCCCGAGAUUUGGGAGUGCUCACUCAGAAACCGGAACACAGGUGCUGCAUGGCUGUCGUCAGCUCGUGUCGUGAGAUGUUGGGUUAGAAUUGCAAUGAUGAAACACCUGUUGGAGUUGCGCUACGAAGGGCACUCUGGCCAAAGGACUGCUGUUGACAAACCGGAGGAAGGUGGGGAUGACGUCAAGUCCUCAUGGCCCUUAUGGGUAGGGCUUCACACGUCAUACAAUGGUCGGGACAGAGGGUCGCCAACCCGCGAGGGAGCCAAUCCGAAACCCGAUCGUAGUCCGGAUCAUGAUCUGCAACUCGACUGCGUGAAGUCGGAAUCGCUAGUAAUCGCGGAUCAGCAUGUCGCGGUGAAUACGUUCCACGGGUCUUGUACACACCGCCCGUCACACCAUGGGAGUGGGUUUUACCAGAAGUAGUUAACCUAACCGUAAGGAGGGCGAUUACCACGGUAGGAUUCAUGACUGGGGUGAAGUCGUAACAAGGUAA
rnacentral:rRNA from 1 species